rnacentral:rRNA from 1 species
CUGGCUCAGGACGAACGCUGGCGGCGUGCUUAACACAUGCAAGUCGAACGAGGAUAUACCAGAGGAGAGCUUCGGCAGGAAUCGGGAAUAUUCGAGUGGCGGACGGGUGAGUAACGCGUGAGCAACCUGUCCCAGACAGGGGGAUAACACUUGGAAACAGGUGCUAAUACCGCAUAAGACCACGGUAUCACAUGGUAGUGGGGUAAAAGGAGCAAUCCGGUUUGGGGUGGGCUCGCGUCCGAUUAGAUAGUUGGUGAGGUAACGGCCCACCAAGUCGACGAUCGGUAGCCGACCUGAGAGGGUGAUCGGCCACAUUGGAACUGAGAGACGGUCCAAACUCCUACGGGAGGCAGCAGUGGGGAAUAUUGGGCAAUGGGCGAAAGCCUGACCCAGCAACGCCGCGUGAGUGAAGAAGGCCUUCGGGUUGUAAAGCUCUGUUAUAGUUGACGAAGGAAGUGACGGUAGGCUAUAAGGAAGCCCCGGCUAACUACGUGCCAGCCGCCGC